ACGUGUCCCUUGUUUACCUUCGGUGUGCAGACCGCGCAUCUCAGCCCUUUCCUGUUCUGAGGGAGUAGCGCUGCUGCCGCGGGCUGUGAGCGGGCGGGCAGCUUCCCUGGGAGGAGGGGAAGCACUCAGCAGUGAGGGAAGGCUUACAAUGUCACUGCCAACAAAGAGGUGCGGAAGACCCCCAGUGUUGUCUUUCUUGGAAAAGAAAAAGAGAAAACAAAGUCUUGAUAGGAGGAGAGGAAAAACCAGGAUUUAUGUGGGAAAUCAUAUUGACCGAUGGCUGACACUGAAGGAAAAACUGGAUUUCAGGAACGAUGCAGAAGUUGCUGGAUUUUUAUUGGACUUGUAUGACAGCUAUGACCCGCUGACAAAAGCUCCCAUCUGUUCCCUCCCUGGGGGUGUGAGAAGAAUUUCUGUGAAAGAAGAAAGAGCACUUUCAGGCAGCGCUUGCUUAAUAGCAGCUGAUGGAACGUAUGAUGAUGGUGACCGGCUGUCUGAAGAGGCUGCCUGCUCUGAAUAUGGAGACUACAGAAUUGUCACUGUGAAGGAAGAGCGAGAGACUCCACCUCAUUGCUCAUCAGUGAAGACAGAUAACACGUUAGUGAUACUAUGGGGUUCUUCUUGCAUGUUUUACAUUUGAAAAUGUUUUGUAUUGACUUCUAUUAUCACUUUUAAUUUAGCUUAUCAGAAACUCAUGUCAUUUACACUCUGAUUCCUUACCUGAAAUUUAAUAGGGGAUGAUCACUCCAGUAACAGUGAGGGAAGCAUCUGGGAGAGUUUUUGGAAGAGUUCCUUAGAGUAUACACAGCAAACUUCUUGUUCAUUGACUUGUUUUCCUGAAGUCUGUGAAUGGAACAAGAAAAUAGCUAAUACGUGUGGAAUAUUGGCUACCUUAGUAAAUAACGAGGUUUUCAGUCAUGCAGUAUCCAGGCACGUGUAUACUUUAACAUUUUAGAAAAGAAAAAUGUUUCUUUGUUGACUGUUCAAGUGAUAACGCAUACGAAGUGAUGCAUAAACCUACUUAGAAGUAGUGCCGUGCUCAAGGAGGCAACCACGCCAUCAGUCGACUGCUGAUGUCUUUUACUGCAGUGUCAUCAGUAACUGAGGCAUUCACAGUUGAGAGAUCAGAGGAGCCUCGAAUAGGUAUGCUUGUCGUUUACUAUCUAUUUAGGUUUCAAUUAUCCACAAAUGUUACUGAAUAAUUAUAAUUUUCUCCAUGUCUUAGCUAUCAGACCUUUACAAAUGUAUCUUUUAAUAUGUGCAGGGGGACACUGAGAACCUAGGACAGUGCAUUGGCAUUGCAUGGUGUGUCCAAACCCUUCGCUAACAUAAAUAGGUGAAUGUGUUGGGCUUCUGGAAGUAAUGCCCUGGCUCAGAAGAAUGACUGGAAGCUGAAUCAGGAGAAAACAAAUACCAGUGCUGGAGAAGCUGAAAAUUUCAAGUGCAUUCUUCAAAACAGCACUUUUCAAGGAUAAUAUUGUUUUAGGUUGGAGUGCUACAAUACUUUAAUUCCUGGGACUGACUUUCUACAGGGUAACCAGCAAGAAGAAAAUCAAGCACUUGAAUAAUGACCUUGGGGCAGUUCUUGGUCCUUUUUGGUUUUGCUGUGAGGGUUUUGUGAGUUAUAAAGAAUGACUGUAAGUUCUAGUAUGAAAUCCCAUGUAUAUUGUUGAACAACUAAUUAAACUUCAAUUAC
rnacentral:lncRNA from 7 species